GAACCGGAGAGGUCCAGCUCUGCCCUCUUCCUCUUGUGUGCAACGAGACCGGUGGUUCCUGGAGAGGUUGGGUCCACAUCCAGGCUGAACGACUCUCUGAAGUCUUUGGGCCAUGACUAUUACCUUGGCUCCAGAGAUGAGGAUUGCCUUUCCUCUUCACAUCAGGUUUCAUGAAGGAACCGGUCUCCGUCACAGCAUCAACAGUGCAAACUGAGUUUUGUGAAUAUUAAGGGAUUCUCCAGGUCUUGCCAACAGCAGCUGUAGAAGACUGUGAUCCAGCUAGCAGAGAUGAGUGUAGUAGUGGUGUGAUGUCCAGCACUCAGCGACCUACAGAUUUGGACCUACUGGAAACAUGCAGUCAUAUGGACUCAAAGAAUAUACUCUGCACAAUCAGGUUGCUUAAUGGAACAGGCUGGAAAGUGGAUUUUCUCUUUAAUGGGUAUCUCAUGCAUUUGA